UACAGAGGUCUCAAGCGUUGUUCGGAUUCAGUGGGCGUAGAGGGUGCGUAGGUGGCGCCGUAAGUGGGGUGUGAAAUCUCGGGGCUUAACUCCGAAACUGCAUUCCAUACUGCGGUGCUCGAGGACUGGAGAGGAGACUGGAAUUUACGGUGUAGCAGUGAAAUGCGUAGAGAUCGUAAGGAAGACCAGUGGCGAAGGCGGGUCUCUGGACAGUUCCAGACACUGAGUCACGAAGGCCAGGGGAGCAAACGGG
rnacentral:rRNA from 1 species